GGACAUGGAUACUGUUUUUUAUAUACAUAUACAUUUUCCAGCUCAGUAAUGUUUUUCUGUGAGCUCACCACAGUGCAUUCUGGGAUAGCCUUCUCCUCAAAGCAACACUAGAUUACAAUUUGACCUAAACAUUUUUAUGUCAGGAGUGCAAUUAUGAUGUCUUAAAGUGCUGUCUUUAUGGACAGAUCAUUAAAUUUCAGAACAGAGCCAAAGUACCCAUGUUUUACCUAAAAUGUUAGUGCUCGAUUAUUCUUUAAAUAACAAUGUUAAUUUGAACGACAGGUUCUGAUUUGCUAAAAAUGAGCAGAGACGACUUCAUUCAAAUCUGUGGGCCUGCUGAUGGAAUCCGUCUUUUUAAUACAAUCGAGGCGAGGUCUCAGCUGCAGAAUAGAUAUCAAUCACAUGCCAAAGGAGGGCGGAUGGAGUCUACCAUGCCCUCUACCUAGAGGACCUUCCUGUGUUUGAGCUUGCUGAGAAGAUAGCCAAUCUAUACAAUGUGCCCUCACAGCAGAUUCAUCAUGUAUACAGACAAGGGCCGACAGGGAUUUACGUUUUGGUUUCGGAUGCGAUGGUGCAAAACUUCACAGAGGAGACCAGCUUCAUAUCAGCACUUUGAAAGAUGAAAGUAAUGAUGGUUACCAUGUUGUACUGAAGUGACCAGCUACUAGAAAAUUAUGAAUCCUAUUAGCUUAUUUUAACAGACUGUG